CACUCCUGCGGGAGGCAGCAGUGGGGAAUAUUGGACAAUGGGCGCAAGCCUGAUCCAGCCAUGCCGCGUGAGUGAUGAAGGCCCUAGGGUUGUAAAGCUCUUUCACCGGUGAAGAUAAUGACGGUAACCGGAGAAGAAGCCCCGGCUAACUUCGUGCCAGCAGCCGCGGUAAUACGAAGGGGGCUAGCGUUGUUCGGAUUUACUGGGCGUAAAGCGCACGUAGGCGGACUAUUAAGUCAGGGGUGAAAUCCCGGGGCUCAACCCCGGAACUGCCUUUGAUACUGGUAGUCUUGAGUUCGAGAGAGGUGAGUGGAAUUCCGAGUGUAGAGGUGAAAUUCGUAGAUAUUCGGAGGAACACCAGUGGCGAAGGCGGCUCACUGGCUCGAUACUGACGCUGAGGUGCGAAAGCGUGGGGAGCAAACAGGAUUAGAAACCCGGGUAGUCCCAUG
rnacentral:rRNA from 1 species